UUGAAUUUUUAAAAUUAAGAAAUCCGUGAUUUUACUUGCAGGCAUGACUGAUUAAUGGAAUUAUUUUACUUUUAUAUAGAAUAUGGACGGCACUCCAUUACAGCAUGUGCAUGGUUGGACCUGUUGACAUUUUUAGAAACGCAUCUUGGUCUAUUAUACAGAGUAUUGUUGUACUGCUCCAAAGUGCUUGUUGACAGACUGAAACCACUUGCUUGCGGCUCAUAAGGUUCACUUCUUGAGAGCAGGCAGCUACAAAAUGGAAGGUCAACAAAUCCAGUAUACUUGAAAAGCAAGAAAGAAACAUCAGAAAAUAUAAAAAAGACAGAAGAACAAGGGAACUUUAAUAAAAAAAAACUUUUAAGGAUAGGAAUUCAGGAUUUAUUUAGAAACUAAAUAUAUUUUGAGAACAGCAGUGUUUGACUAAGCUCUGUUACUUUAAGAGAUAAUGUGAUUAUCACAUUGGUUUUGUUAUUGUCGAGCCCGCUUGCGGAAGCGAAGACAUAGUUGUUUAAAUGUCUAUUCGGUGUAUGUGAGUGUGUGCGUCCGUCCGGAUUUGUUUGUCCGGACUAUAAUUUGGACAUGCAUGGAGCAAUCUUGUUUAUAUAUGGUAUGAAUGUUAACCUCAGUGAGACGGAGUGCCAUGCGCAAGCCCCAGGUUCCUAUUUCAAAGGUCAAGAUCACACUUACAGGUCAAAAGUCAAAUUCAAAAAUGACUUUGUCCGGAGCAUUUCUUCUUCAUGCAUGGAGGGAUUUUGAUGUAACUUGGCACAAUUGUUCACCAUCAUGAGAUGGAGUGUCCUGCGCAAGAACCAGGUCCCUAGGUCUAAGGUCAAGGUCACACUUAGAGGUCAAAGGAUAAAAGAAUGACAACUUUGUCUGGAGGGACUUUAGAUGUAACUUGGCACAAAUGUUCACCACCAUGAGACGGAGUGUCAUGCGGAAGAACCAGGUCUAAGGUCAAGGUCACACUUAGAGGUCAAAGGUCAGAUACAAGAAUGACUUUGUCUGGAGCUUUUCUUUUUGAUGCAUAGAGGGAUUUUGAUGUAACUUGGCACAAUUGUUCAUCAUCAUGCGACGGAGUGUUAUGCAUAAGAUCCUAGAAUUACUUCCCUUUGUUGUUACUAUAAAUAGCUUACAUUUGUAACUUGUUUAUUACUGGUCGUAGGGAAAAAUCAAGACCACUUUUCUGUAGUACAACAUGCAUGUUACAUCCAAUUUUUAGGUGUAUUUUGACCUAUCUCUGCUGGUGCGGAUUUUUGUGUGAAUUUUUUUUUUAAUUUUUU